rnacentral:sRNA from 1 species
AAAACAAAACAAAAGAAGAAA